UGCCCACUGCUGAAGUGGUUGUAGC
rnacentral:piRNA from 1 species